GAUGAACGCUAGCGGCAGGCUUAAUACAUGCAAGUCGAGGGGCAGCAGGGAUAGCAAUAUUCGCUGGCGACCGGCGCACGGGUGCGUAACACGUAUACAAUCUGCCUUUUACUGGGGGAUAGCCUUUCGAAAGAGAGAUUAAUACCCCAUAAUAGAUUCUUUGGCAUCAAAGGAUUUUGAAAGUUCCGACGGUAAGAGAUGAGUAUGCGUCUGAUUAGCUAGUAGGUGAGGUAACGGCUCACCUAGGCAACGAUCAGUAGGGGAUCUGAGAGGACUGACCCCCACACGGAUACUGAGACACGGAUCCGACUCCUACGGGAGGCAGCAGUAAGGAAUAUUGGACAAUGCCCGCAAGGGUGAUCCAGCCAUGCCGCCGUGCAGGAAGACGGCCCGUAUGGGUUGUAAACUGCUUUUAUUACAAGAGGAAAACCCAAUCUACGUUGUAGAUGGCUGAUAGUAUUGUAGG
rnacentral:rRNA from 1 species